rnacentral:rRNA from 1 species
UUGGUCAUUUAGAGGAAGUAAAAGUCGUAACAAGGUCUCCGUUGGUGAACCAGCGGAGGGAUCAUUACCAGAGUGCCCUAGGCUCUCCAACCCAUUGUGAACUUACCAAACGUUCCCUCGGCGGGCUCAGCGCGCGGUGGCCUCCGGGCCUCCGGGCGUCCGCCGGGGAAAACCAAACCCUGAUUUAAUCGUAUUUCUCUGAGGGGCGAAAGCCCGAAAACAAAAUGAAUCAAAACUUUCAACAACGGAUCUCUUGGCUCUGGCAUCGAUGAAGAACGCAGCGAAAUGCGAUAAGUAAUGUGAAUUGCAGAAUUCAGUGAAUCAUCGAAUCUUUGAACGCACAUUGCGCCCGCCGGCACUCCGGCGGGCAUGCCUGUCCGAGCGUCAUUUCAACCCUCAGGCCCACCCUUCCGGGGGAGCGGGCCUGGUUCUGGGGAUCGGCGGCCCUCGCGGCCCCCGUCCCUCAAAUUCAGUGGCGGUCGCGCCGCAGCCUCCCCUGCGUAGUAGCACAACCUCGCACCGGAGAGCGGAACGACCACGCCGUAAAACACCCAAUUUUUUAAGGUUGACCUCGGAUCAGGUAGGAAUACCCGCUGAACUUAAGCAUAUCAAUAAGCGGAGGA